rnacentral:lncRNA from 1 species
CUUUUAUUGGUUCUGGGAUCAGCUGAGCUGUCUCACUCACUGCACACAGUAUUGGCAAUUUCACUGAUUUAGAGCUGUCUUGUUAACUUUAUCAGCCUAUCAAACUGGCAUUUCAAAAGUAACCGAACAAUUCUAUUUUUAAAAUUCAAUCUUAGUUCCAAGAUAUGUUAAAGUAAAAUAUGUAUAUUUCAAAUGAACACAUAUAGCUUAUUUUCUGAGAAAAGGUGUAAGAAUUGUAUAUCAUAAUGGAGAGUUCUAUUGUCACACACACAAAAAAAUCCAAAACAUUUUUUCCACUGUUAGGCUGAGCAAUUCAUCAAAGAAAAUGUAUUUGAUACAUAAAUUAAUGAUUAAUGAAGUUUCCUGAAGUUGAGAGAGAAAUACAUGAAUAUUUGCAACAGACAUCUUAAAGAUAGUCAAGAUUUAUCAAAACCAAAAGGGAUUAAGUUUUUUUCUCAAGGGCAUUCAUCUUGUUCAAGUCUGGCCAUGGAGUGGGGGUGAGGGACCAGACCUACAGGACUUCAAAUUGGAUGGAGAUAGUGAAAGGAGUUUCAAAGCAGAGGAUGGUGUGAGAAAAAAAUGCAAGAAAGGAAAGUAAAUCCAAGAGAAGACAGAGGUUCAAAAAGUCAGAAAGAGAAUUCAGCAGACUAUCACUAUGACUGUUCUAGAAGACUGAAUACGGAGAUACGUAGACUGAGAAAACUUACUAAACAGUGAAUCAAUGCUGAGGAGAAUUAAUAUAAGUCAUAGGCAAUCUCCUAGAGGUAAAGAUCCACAACUUCUUACCCAAAACUCCUGGGGGCAGAAAUUUGGUACAACUGUAUAAAAGUGAAGAUGACAUGGAAAUUUCAAAGAAGAUUCAGACUCAGUGGACCUCUUUGGGCCUAGAAGAUGUACAGUUUGUAAAUUACUCUGUGCUGCUUAAUCUGCCAGACCCUUCUCCCAGCACUGUGACUCUGAGCAGCAGUGGUCAAUGCUUUCAUCCUAAUGGCCAGCCUUGCAGUGAAGAAGCCAGAAAAGAUAGCAACCAAGACCUGCUCUAUUCAUAUGCAGCCUAUUCUGCCAAAGGAAUUCUCAAGGCUGAAGUCAUCGAUGUGAGUUAUGGAAUGGCAGAUGAUUUAAAAAGGAUUAGCAAAAUAAAAAAUAUAACAAAUCAGAUCGCACUCCUGAAAUUAGGAAAAUUGCCACUGCUUUAUAAGCUUUCCUUAUUGGAAAAGGCUGGAUUUGGAGGUGUUCUUCUGUAUAUUGAUCCUUGUGAUUUGCCAAAGACUGUGAAUCCUAGCCAUGAUACCUUCAUGGUGACACUGAAUCCGGGAGGAGACCCUUCUACGCCUGGUUACCCAAGUGUUGAUGGAAGUUUUAGGCAAAGCCGAUCAAACCUCACCUCUCUGUUAGUGCAGCCCAUCUCUGCAUCACUCGUUGCAAAACUGAUCUCUUUGCCAAAAGCUAGAACCAAAAAUGAUGCCUGUAGCCUUCUAGAGCUUCCAAAUAAUGGUAAAGUAUUUAAUGUUAUUCUCUGUAUUUUACAGUUUUGUAAAGACCGUGAUCAUUUUAAUCU